rnacentral:rRNA from 1 species
AAAAAUGUAAAAAUAAAAAAUUAAAUUAUUAAUAGUUAUAAUCUUUAAAGUUAAAAAAUUUGGCGGUAUUUUAAUCUAUUCAGAGGAACCUGUCCUAUAAUUGAUAUUCCACGAUUAAAUUUACUUAUUUUAAUAAUUUAUAUAUCGUCGUAGUUGAAUAUUUUAGUAGAAGUUUAAUAUUCUAAAUUUUAUUAUAAAAAUAAAUCAGAUCAAGGUGUAGUUUAUAAAUAAGAAGAGAUGGGUUACAAUAAAUUUAUUUAUGGAUUGAUUAUUGAGAAUAUUCAUGAAAUUGGAUUUGAUUGUAAUUAAAUUUAUUUAAUUUUAAUGAUUUUAGCUCUAAAAUAUGC